GCUUAACACAUGCAAGUCGAGCGGGCGUAGCAAUACGUCAGCGGCAGACGGGUGAGUAACGCGUGGGAACAUACCUUUUGGUUCGGAACAACACAGGGAAACUUGUGCUAAUACCGGAUAAGCCCUUACGGGGAAAGAUUUAUCGCCGAAAGAUUGGCCCGCGUCUGAUUAGCUAGUUGGUGAGGUAACGGCUCACCAAGGCGACGAUCAGUAGCUGGUCUGAGAGGAUGAUCAGCCACAUUGGGACUGAGACACGGCCCAAACUCCUACGGGAGGCAGCAGUGGGGAAUAUUGGACAAUGGGCGCAAGCCUGAUCCAGCCAUGCCGCGUGAGUGAUGAAGGCCCUAGGGUUGUAAAGCUCUUUUGUGCGGGAAGAUAAUGACGGUACCGCAAGAAUAAGCCCCGGCUAACUUCGUGCCAGCCGCCGCGGUAAUAC
rnacentral:rRNA from 1 species